UUCAUAUUUGAUAUUUCAUAUAAAAAUAUAUAUUAUUGGCAUAUGGUUAAGUUCAACUUUUUUUUGUUCAUUAAAAAAGGUUAAUUUUCAAAAUUUGAAUAUAAAGAAAGCUUAAUAUGGACAUAUACAUAUAUACUUGUAUUCUCUUGUUAAUAUAUUUUAUUAUUUAUUAUUAAUAUAAGAAGUUCUUGACAUAUGAGAAUAAAACAUUGUCCAUAUUAAAUUAAUAUAAAAUAUGGAUUACAUGAUAUUUGUUAUUUCAUUGUUUCAAAAUAUAAGGUAAUGUAUAUAAUGAAUGUACACAUAAUAUGAAUGAUUAUAUGUAUAUAUAUAUAUAUAUAUAUAUAUAUAUAUAUAUUUUAUUUUAUAUAAAUAGAAAUAUUGUGCAUAAUGUAUUCAUAUAUUUCUUAAAAAAUAUUUAUACCUUCAUUUUUGUUGUUGAACAUUUCCAUUUUUCUUUAACACUUUAAUUUUUUUUUUUUUAACUUUCAAUGGAAAAUUAUGAUAAUUGUAAAAAUGUAGAGAUGGUGUUCUGUCAAAGCAUAUAGUAGACAUAUCACAUAUAAAUUAUGAUGUAUGACAUAUAAAUUAUGAUGUAUGACAUAUAAAUUAUGAUGUAUGACAUAUAAAUUGUUAUGUAUGACAUAUAAAUUGUUAUGUAUGACAUAUAAAUUGUUAUGUAUGACAUAUAAAUUGUUAUGUAUGUCAUAUAAAUUGUUAUGUAUGUCAUAUAAAUUAUUAUGUAUGGCAUAUAAUUUGUUAUGUAUGAUAUAUUAAAUAUAUAACAUUUAAAAUAUAUACAUAUUUUGACAUAUAAAUAUUACAUAUAUAUAGAAUUUUAUUUAAAAAAAUAAUUUCCAUGCCACAAUAUUUUUUUACACACAAAUAUGCACUUCAAAUGAUAUGUAUAAUAUGUAUAAUAUGUAUAAUAUGUAUAACAUAUUUUAUAUAUGUACAUUUUUUUUAAUAUAUUUUAACAAAAUGUAAAAAUAAUAUAAUUAACAAAAAAAAAAAAAAAAAAAUUAUAGUAUGGUAAUAAUAUACAUUAUUUCAUAUAUUUAUGAUAUUAUAAAUUAUUAUUUUCAUUUUUUUUUUUUUUUUUUUGUGUAUAUUGUAAAAUAGGAACUGCAUAUGCAUGUAAUUUUAUGUAUAUAUAAUAUUUUUCUUUAUUAUAUGUGUAUUAUUUUAUUUUAUAUUAUAUUUUACCACGUUUACACGUAAUGCAUGUUAAUUUUAUUUGUGAGCACAUCGGAUGUAUGAUAUCUAAAAAGAAGAAAUAAAAUAUGAAAAGUUUAAAAAAUAUAAAAAAAUAAAUAUCUUUUU